AAUAGAUACCCGGGUAGUCCACGCCGUAAACGAUGAGUGCUAAGUGUUAGGGGGUUUCCGCCCCUUAGUGCUGCAGCUAACGCAUUAAGCACUCCGCCUGGGGAGUACGGUCGCAAGACUGAAACUCAAAGGAAUUGACGGGGGCCCGCACAAGCGGUGGAGCAUGUGGUUUAGUUCGAAGCAACGCGAAGAACCUUACCAGGUCUUGACAUCCCAUUGACCACUAUGGAGACAUAGUUUUCCCUUCGGGGACAACGGUGACAGGUGGUGCAUGGUUGUCGUCAGCUCGUGUCGUGAGAUGUUGGGUUAAGUCCCGCAACGAGCGCAACCCUUGUUCUUAGUUGCCAUCAUUUAGUUGGGCACUCUAAGGAGACUGCCGGUGACAAACCGGAGGAAGGUGGGGAUGACGUCAAAUCAUCAUGCCCCUUAUGACCUGGGCUACACACGUGCUACAAUGGACGGUACAAACGGUUGCCAACCCGCGAGGGGGAGCUAAUCCGAUAAAACCGUUCUCAGUUCGGAUUGUAGGCUGCAACUCGCCUACA
rnacentral:rRNA from 1 species